rnacentral:rRNA from 1 species
GACGAACGCUGGCGGCGUGCUUAACACAUGCAAGUCGAACGGAAAGGCCCUGCUUUUGUGGGGUGCUCGAGUGGCGAACGGGUGAGUAACACGUGAGUAACCUGCCCUUGACUUUGGGAUAACUUCAGGAAACUGGGGCUAAUACCGGAUAGGAGCUCCUGCUGCAUGGUGGGGGUUGGAAAGUUUCGGCGGUUGGGGAUGGACUCGCGGCUUAUCAGCUUGUUGGUGGGGUAGUGGCUUACCAAGGCUUUGACGGGUAGCCGGCCUGAGAGGGUGACCGGGCACAUUGGGACUGAGAUACGGAACAGAGUACAACGGGAGGCAGGAGUGGGGAAUAUUGCACAAUGGGCGGAAGCCUGAUGAAGAAACGCCGCGUGCGGGAUGACGGCCUUCGGGUUGUAAACCGAUUUCGCCUGUGACGAAGCGUGAGUGACGGUAAUGGGUAAAGAAGCACCGGCUAACUACGUG